GCGAGGAAACCCGCUGAACUUAAGCAUAUCACUAAGCGAGGAAA
rnacentral:rRNA from 1 species